AGUAUUUCUUGUUGAUUUAUUUUUUAAAAAAAGCAUGUGUUUAUUAGUUAGAUGUAGAGAGAAAGUAAGAGAUAGAAGUAGAGCUUUUUUUUUUUUUGGUUGGGCUUAAAAAUGUUUUAUUGACUUGACUUAAAAAAGUAUGUGUUUUUUUAGUUUAUUGGUUUUGAUUCCUGUAUCCUUCACAAAUUUUUUUUUUGACAUUAUUUACCUAUUAAACGAGUAGGUUAAAAAUAAACAGCUGAAAAUAAAUCUCUAAAAAUUAAUGAUAAAACACUUGGAUUUAAGAUUAUAGGUACUGAUCUUACUCUAAAUAGCGAAGAGAAUUUUCUAUAAAAAUUUCAUAAGAUUUGAAUUGUUUUAUACCGUUAAGUUCACAAGCGCAUCACAUCGGUUAUUAAAAUUAUCAAUUUUGGUUUCUAAAUAUUUCUAAUAGUAUAGCUCAAUUCUAACGGAAUUGAUCGUCGAUUCGAAAGCCGCAUCAUCAAAAAUAACUUGGCAGUAUGGACGCCUCCAUACUACUGAUAGUAUAGUAGCUGGAAAUAUAUAUAUAUAUCUAUAUAUACAUAUAUA
rnacentral:lncRNA from 1 species